CUGGCGGCAGGCCUAACACAUGCAAGUCGAGCGCUCACUUCGGUGGGAGCGGCGGACGGGUUAGUAACGCGUGGGAAUAUGCCCGGUACUAAGGAAUAGCCUUUGGAAACGAAGAGUAAUACCUUAUACGCCCUUCGGGGGAAAGAUUUAUCGGUAUCGGAUUAGCCCGCGUAAGAUUAGAUAGUUGGUGGGGUAAUGGCCUACCAAGUCUACGAUCUUUAGCUGGUUUUAGAGGAUGAUCAGCAACACUGGGACUGAGACACGGCCCAGACUCCUACGGGAGGCAGCAGUGGGGAAUCUUAGACAAUGGGCGCAAGCCUGAUCUAGCCAUGCCGCGUGAGUGAAGAAGGCCUUAGGGUCGUAAAACUCUUUCGCCAGAGAUGAUAAUGACAGUAUCUGGUAAAGAAACCCCGGCUAACUCCGUGCCAGCAGCCGCGGUAAUACGGAGGGGGUUAGCGUUGUUCGGAAUUACUGGGCGUAAAGCGCACGUAGGCGGACUGGAAAGUUGGGGGUGAAAUCCCGGGGCUCAACCUCGGAACUGCCCCCAAAACUAUCAGUCUAGAGUUCGAGAGAGGUGAGUGGAAUUCCAAGUGUAGAGGUGAAAUUCGUAGAUAUUUGGAGGAACACCAGUGGCGAAGGCGGCUCACUGGCUCGAUACUGACGCUGAGGUGCGAAGUGUGGGGAGCAAACAGGAUUAGAUACCCUG
rnacentral:rRNA from 1 species